UGGGGAAUUUUGGACAAUGGGCGAAAGCCUGAUCCAGCAAUGCCGCGUGUGUGAAGAAGGCCUUCGGGUUGUAAAGCACUUUUGUCCGGAAAGAAAUCCUUGGCUCUAAUACAGUCGGGGGAUGACGGUACCGGAAGAAUAAGCACCGGCUAACUACGUGCCAGCAGCCGCGGUAAUACGUAGGGUGCAAGCGUUAAUCGGAAUUACUGGGCGUAAAGCGUGCGCAGGCGGUUUGCUAAGACCGAUGUGAAAUCCCCGGGCUCAACCUGGGAACUGCAUUGGUGACUGGCAGGCUAGAGUAUGGCAGAGGGGGGUAGAAUUCCACGUGUAGCAGUGAAAUGCGUAGAGAUGUGGAGGAAUACCGAUGGCGAAGGCAGCCCCCUGGGCCAAUACUGACGCUCAUGCACGAAAGGCGUGGGGAGCAAAGCAGGAUUAGAUACCCUGGUAGUCCACGCCCUAAACGAUGUCAACUAGUUGUUGGGGGAUUCAUUUCCUUAGUAACGUAGCUAACGCGUGAAGUUGACGCCUGGGGAGUACGGUCGCAAGAUUAAAA
rnacentral:rRNA from 1 species